UUCCUACGGGACGCAGCAGUAGGGAAUAUUGCACAAUGGGGGAAACCCUGAUGCAGCGACGCCGCGUGAAGGAUGAAGUAUUUCGGUAUGUAAACUUCUAUCAGCAAGGAAGAAAAUGACGGUACUUGACUAAGAAGCCCCGGCUAAAUACGUGCCAGCAGCCGCGGUAAUACGUAUGGGGCAAGCGUUAUCCGGAUUUACUGGGUGUAAAGGGAGCGUAGGCGGUACGGCAAGUCAGAAGUGAAAGCCUGGGGCUCAACCCCGGAAUUGCUUUUGAAACUGGCAGACUUGAGUUGGCGAGAAGG
rnacentral:rRNA from 1 species